UUAAGUUAUUAAGGGCGCACGGUGGAUGCCUUGGCACUAGAAGCCGAUGAAGGACGUUACUAACGACGAUAUGCUUUGGGGAGCUGUAAGUAAGCUUUGAUCCAGAGAUUUCCGAAUGGGGAAACCCAGCAUGAGUUAUGUCAUGUUAUCGAUAUGUGAAUACAUAGCAUAUCAGAAGGCACACCCGGAGAACUGAAACAUCUUAGUACCCGGAGGAAGAGAAAGAAAAUUCGAUUCCCUUAGUAGCGGCGAGCGAAACGGGAAAAGCCCAAACCAACAAGCUUGCUUGUUGGGGUUGUAGGACACUCUAUACGGAGUUACAAAGGACGACAUUAGACGAAUCAUCUGGAAAGAUGAAUCAAAGAAGGUAAUAAUCCUGUAGUCGAAAAUAUUGUCUCUCUUGAGUGGAUCCUGAGUACGACGGAGCACGUGAAAUUCCGUCGGAAUCUGGGAGGACCAUCUCCUAAGGCUAAAUACUCUCUAGUGACCGAUAGUGAACCAGUACCGUGAGGGAAAGGUGAAAAGCACCCCGGAAGGGGAGUGAAAUAGAACCUGAAACCGUGUGCUUACAAGUAGUCAGAGCCCGUUAAUGGGUGAUGGCGUGCCUUUUGUAGAAUGAACCGGCGAGUUACGAUUUGAUGCAAGGUUAAGCAGUAAAUGUGGAGCCGUAGCGAAAGCGAGUCUGAAUAGGGCGUUUAGUAUUUGGUCGUAGACCCGAAACCAGGUGAUCUACCCUUGGUCAGGUUGAAGUUCAGGUAACACUGAAUGGAGGACCGAACCGACUUACGUUGAAAAGUGAGCGGAUGAACUGAGGGUAGCGGAGAAAUUCCAAUCGAACCUGGAGAUAGCUGGUUCUCUCCGAAAUAGCUUUAGGGCUAGCCUCAAGUGAUGAUUAUUGGAGGUAGAGCACUGUUUGGACGAGGGGCCCCUCUCGGGUUACCGAAUUCAGACAAACUCCGAAUGCCAAUUAAUUUAACUUGGGAGUCAGAACAUGGGUGAUAAGGUCCGUGUUCGAAAGGGAAACAGCCCAGACCACCAGCUAAGGUCCCAAAAUAUAUGUUAAGUGGAAAAGGAUGUGGCGUUGCCCAGACAACUAGGAUGUUGGCUUAGAAGCAGCCAUCAUUUAAAGAGUGCGUAAUAGCUCACUAGUCGAGUGACACUGCGCCGAAAAUGUACCGGGGCUAAACAUAUUACCGAAGCUGUGGAUUGUCCUUUGGACAAUGGUAGGAGAGCGUUCUAAGGGCGUUGAAGCAUGAUCGUAAGGACAUGUGGAGCGCUUAGAAGUGAGAAUGCCGGUGUGAGUAGCGAAAGACGGGUGAGAAUCCCGUCCACCGAUUGACUAAGGUUUCCAGAGGAAGGCUCGUCCGCUCUGGGUUAGUCGGGUCCUAAGCUGAGGCCGACAGGCGUAGGCGAUGGAUAACAGGUUGAUAUUCCUGUACCACCUAUAAUCGUUUUAAUCGAUGGGGGGACGCAGUAGGAUAGGCGAAGCGUGCGAUUGGAUUGCACGUCUAAGCAGUAAGGCUGAGUAUUAGGCAAAUCCGGUACUCGUUAAGGCUGAGCUGUGAUGGGGAGAAGACAUUGUGUCUUCGAGUCGUUGAUUUCACACUGCCGAGAAAAGCCUCUAGAUAGAAAAUAGGUGCCCGUACCGCAAACCGACACAGGUAGUCAAGAUGAGAAUUCUAAGGUGAGCGAGCGAACUCUCGUUAAGGAACUCGGCAAAAUGACCCCGUAACUUCGGGAGAAGGGGUGCUCUUUAGGGUUAACGCCCAGAAGAGCCGCAGUGAAUAGGCCCAAGCGACUGUUUAUCAAAAACACAGGUCUCUGCUAAACCGUAAGGUGAUGUAUAGGGGCUGACGCCUGCCCGGUGCUGGAAGGUUAAGAGGAGUGGUUAGCUUCUGCGAAGCUACGAAUCGAAGCCCCAGUAAACGGCGGCCGUAACUAUAACGGUCCUAAGGUAGCGAAAUUCCUUGUCGGGUAAGUUCCGACCCGCACGAAAGGCGUAACGAUUUGGGCACUGUCUCAACGAGAGACUCGGUGAAAUCAUAGUACCUGUGAAGAUGCAGGUUACCCGCGACAGGACGGAAAGACCCCGUGGAGCUUUACUGUAGCCUGAUAUUGAAAUUCGGCACAGCUUGUACAGGAUAGGUAGGAGCCUUUGAAACGUGAGCGCUAGCUUACGUGGAGGCGCUGGUGGGAUACUACCCUAGCUGUGUUGGCUUUCUAACCCGCACCACUUAUCGUGGUGGGAGACAGUGUCAGGCGGGCAGUUUGACUGGGGCGGUCGCCUCCUAAAAGGUAACGGAGGCGCUCAAAGGUUCCCUCAGAAUGGUUGGAAAUCAUUCAUAGAGUGUAAAGGCAUAAGGGAGCUUGACUGCGAGACCUACAAGUCGAGCAGGGUCGAAAGACGGACUUAGUGAUCCGGUGGUUCCGCAUGGAAGGGCCAUCGCUCAACGGAUAAAAGCUACCCCGGGGAUAACAGGCUUAUCUCCCCCAAGAGUUCACAUCGACGGGGAGGUUUGGCACCUCGAUGUCGGCUCAUCGCAUCCUGGGGCUGUAGUCGGUCCCAAGGGUUGGGCUGUUCGCCCAUUAAAGCGGUACGCGAGCUGGGUUCAGAACGUCGUGAGACAGUUCGGUCCCUAUCCGUCGUGGGCGUAGGAAAUUUGAGAGGAGCUGUCCUUAGUACGAGAGGACCGGGAUGGACAUACCUCUGGUGUACCAGUUGUCGUGCCAACGGCAUAGCUGGGUAGCUAUGUGUGGACGGGAUAAGUGCUGAAAGCAUCUAAGCAUGAAGCCCCCCUCAAGAUGAGAUUUCCCAACUUCGGUUAUAAGAUCCCUCAAAGAUGAUGAGGUUAAUAGGUUCGAGGUGGAAGCAUGGUGACAUGUGGAGCUGACGAAUACUAAUCGAUCGAAGACUUAAUCAA
rnacentral:rRNA from 1 species